UCACAGUUUUUUUUUUCUCACCACUUGCAGUAAUGUUUUCGAUAUAAUUAAGAAAAAGCGUCCAAUCUAAAAACUAUAUAGUUGUAUAUGUAACAUGUAGGUAAUAAUUAUAAAUCAUCUCUUUAAAUCAGGGCAUUAACAUUAUUUUUUUUCCACAGAUAAAACAGAAGAAAAAAAGUGCGAGGAAGAAAAAGGACCUCAAAUUUCAGAAAGAAACGUCUAUACACGUAUGAAAAAGAUAGAAAUGGAAUUGUAUAGAUUGAGGAAGAGUAAGGGUGAAUUCAAGAAGGAAAUGAAAGAAUUGAACGAUGUGUACUCGCACUAAAGAAGAGCUAUCGGUGAAUAUCUAUUACCGGCUAAAAUGGAUGAUGUAUGUAGAAGAUAAAAUGAUGGUAGUGGACGUUAAGCUGGCGAUGUACCACGAAAAUUCAAAGCGAAUACGUCGUCAUUUGGAGGUACUUCUACAAAUACAUUUGCUACUGCAGAUGGAUGUUAGUACUGUCAGCGAAGUUGUUAAAAGGCAUACAUUUUCGUAAGCAUUAUUGGUGUUGGCGAGCAAUCUCGCUUGUCAAUUAUUGACGGUAUACAAUAAGGAAAUUGCCAGAUGUAGAGAAUUUCAGAGUAAAUUCGACGUUCCAGGUUUGCAGCAUGUUCCGCCUAGUUUUGCUACUCAAACGCCAACUAUUUUCAAUAAUGGAUAGCAUAGAGUAAUUUUUAUUUUUAAUUUUGACUGUUAUUAAAACUUUUAAUGCCCUGUACCUCAUUAAAUAUUUACUUUCAUUAUUCACUCAUCAAAAUUAACAACAGAUCUUUUUUGUAGAUUAUCAACUUCUCUUCAACUUUUAUUUGAAACAUUUUUCUCUAAACUCAAAAUUACAGAAGUUACAAGCAAUUUAAACGA